rnacentral:misc_RNA from 1 species
GUUGCACAAGAUACCGACGUGCCAGUGAGCGCAACACGCUCAAAACACCUGACACCCUGAUGACCAUGCAUUUAUUAGCAACUGUACACCAUCUGCAGCUGCGGUACGGCCCUACUGUGAUUGUGAAGAAAUUGUGAUGCAAUACAAAUCGUAUAAUCAUGACCGCGCUUGUUAAGGCCUACAAAAAUACUUGUACCCCCAGAACUGUGUAUGGAGUAGAUAAGGCCUUCAGUUCAAAUAAAUUAAAGCCAAGGAUUGAACUCAGUAAUCGUUCACGUCGAGGUAGGACCUUAUCCUGAAACUUGAAAGUCCUGAUGCAUGAUGCGGAAAAGGACGGCAUUCAUAAGCUUGUUUCACAUUUCGUGCUCAUGCUCAGAAAGAAGAUUUAACCGAGGGGAACAAAUCCAUGACAACGUUUGACAUAAGAGACAUCUCGUUACUUUGUGAAUAACAAAGAUGAUUGGAAAGCGUGAUACGCCAACACCACCCGAUGGAGGAUGGGGCUGGGUGGUUGCCGUGGGCAGCAACAUCAGCCUGCAGUUUGCUCUGUUUGUACGCUGCAGCGGGGUGUUUUUCAAUGAGUGGCGAGACUCCUUUGAAGCCUCGGCAACAGCGGUCAGUGUGGCCGGCAGCGCCCAUCUGGCAGCGUUUCUCUUCACGGGUCCUCUGGCAGGCUAUCUCUGCAAUCGAAUCGGCCCUCGAAGACUGGCUGUGCUUGGAGGCGCGAUGAUGUCCACUAGUUUUUUCAUUACAUCUUUUGCGAAAACACUUUUACACGUCAUAUUGAGCUUUGGUGCUGUGGGAGGGGUCGGUUGUGGCUUUAUCUAUGUCAGUUCUACAACUGUCAUCAGCAAGUACUUUAAGAAAAGGUUUGCUACGGCCAACAGCAUCAGCAACUCCGGGUCAGGCUUGACCAUCAUCAUUCUGCCACUUCUGGCUCGCUUAUUCAUCGACCUCUAUAGUUGGAGCGGAGCUUUUUUUGUCUUUUCAGCAAUGACAGCUAAUGUAUGUGCCUGCGGCAUGCUAUUCCGACCAGUAAAACAAUAUAAUAGACUUGCCAAGAAAAAGAAAAUAAUUGGGGAAGUUUCAGUUGAAGAGAGACCUCCUGGCCACGAGGAAAUUGAGCGGGUGUCAUUACAAAAUGAUGAACUCGUUCAGGAGAGUGUCAGAAGUUCUCAUGGAAAGGUUUACAGGAAGAUUUUAGGGAGCUCUGGAAGUGAUUCUGAGGUAGAGGACACUAACUUAAACCUUGAGGAAAGUCAAGCUGAUGAACCUCAUGAGAUGAUGUGCAGCUCUGGUGUAGAGUCUAUAGAAGACGAGGAUGUCCAAGUACGCAAGAGCAUGUUAGAUGGGAAGCCGGUUAGGAAGGUCUCAAUACAACCUGGUUGUGUGUCUGAAGCUCAGGAUGCAAUAAACCUCCGGGGUGUUUCAGAUAGCCAACCUCAAAGAAGGUCUUCAGAGAGCCUUAGUCACAGCUCUCGGCAGCAGGAGCAUGGGGAAGUUUGUAAUGGAGAAGUCGUGACCUCAUCAAAGCUUUCUGCAACUGCCAGUCAACAUAGUGUCGUCACUGAUGCAUCAGUGGCGAGGACACAGCGAAGGCCAACCGUGGCAUCUAUUUAUCUUGGUCACCUCGCCCAAGUCAGUGGGUUCUAUCUCUUUAAGACUCGGCAUCGUUUCACCCUCAUGUGCGUCCUGAAUGCUGUGGUAGGGAUAGCUUUCUCUGCCGUCACAAUCCACUUUGUGCCCAUGACCAUUGAUGCUGGGAUCUCCAAGCUGAAUGCUGCUGUACUGAUGUCGAUCUACGGCGUUGGCAGCCUGUCGGGCCGGCUAUCUUCUGGUCCAUUGGUAGACCAUAACAUUUUUGGCCCUCUGAAAUUGUACUUUUUCGUCAUCUUUACUUGCGGAUUAUCUAUGAUCAUCUGCCCUUCCCUACACACCUUCGCAGGGUAUAUCAUCUUUGCUAUUGUCUUCGGAUGUAUGUCUGGAAUGUUCAAGUCCCUUCAUGUCGUCUUGAUUAGGCAGUUUGUGGGCACUGAUCUGUUUCCCAUUGCACUUGGGAUUUUUAUGCCUUUUAUGGGCAUCGGCACUGUUGCUGGACCAACAUUUGCUGGUUCGCUGUAUGAUAUUGGGGAGAAUUACAACCUGGCUUUCUACAUCACCGGCAGCAUCUUGGCUGUGGGAGCCUUCUUUGUUCUACUCAUACCAUAUCUGAAGAGAUUUGAGGAGAAACAUCAUCCUGAUGGUCACCUCAACGAUGAUGUGCACGAGGAGCCUGGGGCAUCAGCGCAGUUAGGAAGCGUACAGUCACUCAGUGCUGUGUAACCAGUUUGGCUUUGCCCGCUUUCAGUUGAUGGAAUUUAGGUUCAUACAUCAAAGCUCUUUGUGCAGGUAGUGUUUGACAAGCCAGUUGAGUAUUUCACAAAGACGGGUUUAUUUGAGUUCAAAGCACCUGACAUCUUGCCGGUUUGGACAUAUUCAGUGCACUGUGUUUGGCUGUGCUGGUACUGUGGGGCAGAACUUGCACUAGUGUAGUCUUACCAACAAAGAACCCAGGGUGGACUUUAUUUUUUAAGAAAUACAUUAAAAAAAUAUAUGAAUGAAAUUACAAUUAGAGAGGGUUUGCAUGUCUGCCAUCUUGCAGGCCAGUGGAUUGUUCCACAGGUUAUGCACAAACAAGGUUUCCCUGCAGAACAAACAACUGCCCUGCAAGAUGGCUGCCACACAAAGCCUUUAUAGUGAUAAUACAAAACCAGAUGACAUCCAGUAAAGGUUAUUUGUACAUCAGUAAGGGUGUAAUGCAUUUACCUAUGUGUCCACCUGUCUUCAACAGUAAGACAUAAAAAAGUCUGACGAGUCAGACCCCUACCCCUGGAAGAAUUCCUGGAGCAGCCUGUUUUAAGGCAUGCACUGUCCAUAUUUCAAACUCCUACCUCAUUAACUAUUUAUUUCAUUUGCUCAAAAGUCCACUAAUGUUGACAGGGGUAUAUUGAGGCAGUUUGGAACAGUAAAUGCUUGUUUAUACUCACUUCAUUUGCACUCAUGCAGCACGUAAGGUGAAUGCCGCAUUUGAGGUUCAUCCUUUCAUGUCUUCUCAAGGCCCAGCUGGGUGUGCGUAUCCGACAAAAGUUUUACCAAUUUUAGUUUGUCCGAAUACGCAUACGUUCACGGCGUACGCACUAUCCAUUAUUUUCUCAAACUGCGUACUAGGGCGCACAUUUUCAUUAUGCACUGCGCUUUUCUUCAACCCCUGCAGACACCUCAAAAUAGACUGUUGCGCUGCGUACACAGUGAAUAUGCAGCAAGUAUAAACCGGCCUUAACUCAGGUUUUUUUGUAUACGGGUACUUCAAUCAAUGUUGGCCAAAUGAUGGAUGAUUGGGAUGGUCUAAAUGAACUUCUGUGCAUGCUUCCAACACACUUACAUGUGAGUGCAAGCUACGUAUGUACAUAUAUAUUUAUGGGGUUUUUGUUUGUUUUUUAGCUAUGAAGCAAAUACAAGACAAUGUGAUACGGGUUUCCAUCUGUCCAGCUAGCGGUCUACUUUUCACAUCACAAUGUUAAAGUUUUUAGCUUGAAGGUAUUUAGAUAAUAACAUGAGUGAUGAAUAACAAAUUGAACGAGUUUACUUUUGAGAUUUUUCUUAAAAAUUUGUUUACUGUAUUUGUUUAUAUAUGUACAUGUAUUUAUUGACUUACAUGUAUGUGUCACUGUUGAUUUCUUUUGUCUUUGUUAAGCAGUAUUUAAUCAAGAGAUUGAAAAAUUCAAUUUGAUGACUGCGGCAGAAAUGAAUCAUUUAAGUUUCAGAAGUACAUCCAGCUCGUUUUUGAGCUGGUGUUUUUUAUUUCUGUCCAAAUCUCAAUGAAAUGAACCAAAAAAGGUGAAUUUAAAUUCAAAGAUAUUGCCAUAAAAUAACUAAUGUAUUUAAUUUUUGUAUGCAUGUGAACAGAUUAGUCAAUAUGGGUCAGUUCAAAAAGCCAAUCAAAAGCCACACUUGACUGUAAGAAAGCCUUUGGAAAGUCUUCCAAAAAUGGGAAUGGUUGGGAAACUGUAUUUUUAAAACCAAAAGCCAGAAUCUACAGUGUACUUUUGGUCAAUGUCAUGUCAAGGAGAAUGGACGGGGAACUGUAGAGUAAGCCCGAGUGAGCUUGUGACUUUUUUCGCAAGCUCUCGGACAAGCACUGAGCAUACAGUGUUUAUCAAUAUAUACGUACGGUAAGGGCAAAACCCCUUGUUUAAAUUACCAUCUCCCCUAUGCAAAAAUACUUCUUGAAAAGCAAGCCUCAUUGUAUUUGGACAAAAAACUAAAUAUAAUUUUUUAUGUGCUUUUCAAAAGUAAAUCCUCACUUCAAACAAUGGAGAGAUAAUAUCUAUUGUUUUUUCUUUUUUAGGUGAAGUAUAUGAUUUGCAGCAUAUAUAAUGUACAUAUAAUUGAAAUAAAUGCUAUACAAGAAGAGAAGAUAUGAAAUGCUAACAAAAGGUUAUUUUGUUCCACUAAUUGAAAUUUGAACAUGAAACUGACCAAGCAAAGUUUUUGUUAGCCUUGCUCAUAUCCAUUUAUCAUUUUUUGCACAUCCCCCCCCCCACCCCGCGGUUACGCCACUGCGUAGGAGAAACGUUUACCCUUCCUAAAUCGCCGGGCACCCUGCGUAAUAAAAGAGCUCCGCCCACAUUUUUCUCCCCUUCUAGUUUUGUACUGAAAAGAUACGAUCAUUAUACAAUCGCAGUAUAAGAGGUUACGACCCUUCGCCAUUACAGACGUAACGCAACCCAGCUUGGGUGCGAGGUUGUUAGUGUUUCAGGCAUGGCGACCGACCGACGGAACGCGGAAGAACGGUCACCGUCACAUUGCAUCGCCAAACACCCGUUUUUUGGACGAAAUCCCGCUGUUGUCAGCUCUGGAAAUCCUACUCCUAUCCAGGGAUCUCUAUAACGUAUAUCGAAGCGUACGGUGUCUCUGAAGAAAGGGAAAUUUAAAAGGCUUCAUGAAAGAUUUUCAUCUGAUGACAAUCGUUGACGGGUCCCACCAUUUACUGCUGUGACGUCUGCACAUAAAUACACUGUACGUGCGACCGCGCCGCAGGGGAGGCUGUAGCGGCUGAAGAAAGCAGUGCCCAUGCUUCGUGGACUUCAACCCGAGGGUUUGAUGUUGCCAACCUGUAUUUUAUCUUAAAAGGGAAAAACAGAAAUUGUUCAGAAUUUUGAUCAUCGAGAUAUAAAAGCAUAGACCAUGAAGAGAGACAGCAGGUAGCGGAAUCAUGCAUCGAGGCGGCGGAAAACAAAACGGGAAUAUGAAUUCAUCCUUGGGAAGGACCCAGAACAUGAAGGCAGAUCCAGAGCAGCUCUUUGCCAAGUUGGAGCGCAUCGGCAAGGGUUCCUUUGGCGAGGUCUUCAAGGGU